rnacentral:rRNA from 1 species
ACUGCGAUAGGGGACAUCGAGUGGCACCCACCAUGGGUGUCUGUCCAAUCGUCUAAAAAACGAUUGUCAGCAAGGGCCGGGCAAGACCGGUGCCAGCCGCCGCGGUAAUACCGGCGGCUCGAGUGGUGGCCGAUAUUAUUGAGUCUAAAGGGUCCGUAGCCGGCUUUGCAAGUCCCCUGGGAAAUCCAGCGGCUUAACCGUUGGGCUUUCAUGGGAAACUACAUUGCUUGGGACUGGGAGAGGUAGGAGGUACUCAGGGGGUAGGGGUGAAAUCCUGUAAUCCUUUGGGGACCACCGGUGGCGAAGGCGUCCUACCAGAACAGGUCCGACGGUGAGGGACGAAAGCUAGGGGCACGAACCGGAUUAGAUACCCGGGUAGUCCUAGCCGUAAACGAUGCUCGCUAGGUGUCACGGCAGUCGUGAAUUGUCGUGGUGCCGUAGGGAAGCCGUGAAGCGAGCCACUUGGGAAGUACGACCGCAAGGUUGAAACUUAAAGGAAUUGGCGGGGGAGCAC